rnacentral:tRNA from 1 species
GCCGGGGUGGUGGAAUCGGUAGACACAGAGGACUUAAAAUCCUCCGCCGCAAGGCAUGCGGGUUCGAGUCCCGCCCCCGGCA